rnacentral:rRNA from 1 species
GACAGAGGUGCCAAGCGUUAGGCGGAAUCACUGGGCUUAAAGCGUGUGUAGGCGGAUUGCUAAGUACCUUGUGAAAUCCCACGGCUCAACCGUGGAACUGCUUGGUAUACUGGUUAUCUUGAGCCACUUAGGGGCGAGCGGAACAAAUGGUGGAGCGGUGAAAUGCGCAGAUAUCAGGAGGAACACCGGUGGCGAAGGCGGGUCUCUGGGCAGUAACUGACGCUGAGGAGCGAAGGCCAGGGGAGCAAACGGG